rnacentral:lncRNA from 1 species
AAAAUUUUAGGUAAACAGAAUCUGAACUGGAAAAAGAUUUUCAAACUGCCUUUUGCUGUUACUAAAGAUAGUAAAUUACAGUGGUUGCAAUAUAGGAUUAACCAUUGCAUUAUUGCCACAAAUCAGUAUUUAGUCAAAAUAAAAUUGAGCGAUGAUCCUUUUUGUACAUUUUGUAAAUCAGAUAAUGAGUCUAUAGAACACCUAUUUUGGAAUUGCAAUACUGUACAAAAUUUUCUACAGGAUAUUGAUAACUGGUUCCUUUCCGGUGGAAUAAGUCUUCCAAUGAAUAAAUUAAACUCUCUUUUUGGAGACUUAUCCAAGAUAUUUCCCAACAACCC